GUCCAAAGGUUUUGAAACUUCUGCUUUCCUUAGGACCAGGUCUCCUAGAUGGAAGACCUUUGGCUUAACUUUUGCAUUAUAAUAUUGGGCUAUUCUUUGCCGAUAUGCUGUCAUUCGAACUUAAGCUUGCUAUCGGACUUUUGGAAGUAAGUCUAAAUUGACUCUCCGACAUUCUGAAUUGCUCGACUCGUUGUAUUUUUUCACUCUUGCUGAUGGUAAUCCGAUCUCAAGCGGGAUUAUCGCUUCCGUUCUAUAGGCCAAGUUGAAUGGUGAUUCUCCUGUCGAUAUGUGAGAAGUUGCUCGGUAUGCCCAUAAGAUCGGAUAUAGUUCUUCCCCCCAGAAGCCUUUAGCUUCAUUCAGCCUGGUCUUAAGAUCACGUAGGAUUGUUCAGUUUGUUACUUCUAUCUCACCAUUAGAUUGUGGAUGAUCGACUGAUGUGAGUUUGUGCGUAACAUA
rnacentral:lncRNA from 1 species